rnacentral:misc_RNA from 1 species
AACGCACCUUGCGCUCCUUGGUAUUCCGAGGAGCAUGCCUGUUUGAGUGUCAUUAAUAUAUAAUCAACCCUCUUGUUUGAGUGGCUUGGAUGUGGGGGCUUGCUGGCCUCUUAAAAGGUUCAGCUCCCCUGAAAUGCAUUAGUGGAACGACCUGUUCAUUCAUUGGUGUGAUAACUAUCUACGCUAUUGAACGUGAGGCAGUUCAGCUUUCUAACUGUCCUUGGACAAUUCAUUGUUGUAUGUGACCUCAAAUCAGGUAGGACUACCCGCUGAACUUAA